rnacentral:rRNA from 1 species
GAUGAACGCUGGCGGCGUGCCUAAUACAUGCAAGUCGAGCGAACAGACGAGGAGCUUGCUCCUCUGACGUUAGCGGCGGACGGGUGAGUAACACGUGGAUAACCUACCUAUAAGACUGGGAUAACUUCGGGAAACCGGAGCUAAUACCGGAUAAUAUAUUGAACCGCAUGGUUCAAUAGUGAAAGACGGUUUUGCUGUGACUUGUAGAUGGAUCCGCGCCGCAUUAGCUAGGUGGUAAGGUAACGGCUUACCAAGGCAACGAUGCGUAGCCGACCUGAGAGGGUGAUCAGCCACACUGGAACUGAGACACGGUCCAGACUCCUACGGGAGGCAGCAGUAGGGAAUCUUGCGCAAUGGGCGAAAGCCUGACGGAGCAACGCCGCGUGAGUGAUGAAGGUCUUCGGAUCGUAAAACUCUUUUAUUAGGGAAGAACAAAUGUGUAAGUAACUAUGCACGUCUUGACGGUACCUAAUCAGAAAGCCACGGCUAACUACGUG